GGCCCGUUAGUCAAGUGGUUAAGACAUUGGAUUUUCAUUCCAGUAACAUCGGUUCAAAUCCGGUACGGGUCACCA
rnacentral:tRNA from 1 species